CAGGAAGUCUUGCAGAUGGGGAAGUAUCUUGAGGAUGCCUCUCUCAAAGGCCAGACAGUUAGAAUGACAGAUUGAUGCUGGUGGUUUAAGUUUCAUAGUGAAAUGACUGUAUGGUCUACAGCCGAUAUUUCACAGAUGGCUACAUUUGUGUUGUCUCAGCAUGUAGUCUUCAUGUUUGUGGAAGUUCAGUGAAAUGCCCAAGGUAAACCACACGUUAUGGAGUUUGCAUAGAUCCUUGGAUCUUGGAUAGCUGCAUUUAACUAUAUAAAAGAAUGAUGAAGAUCACACAAAACUUUCAGUAGCAGUAAAACUGGGGUUACCUGCUCCUCCUGGCUGAAACAUGCUCACUCUGAUUUUCCUCAUAUACAGUUCUUACAGGACAAUGAAUGGCAGGGAGAGAAUCAUUAUCUGAAAGUAAAUGGAAUGGAUUGAACAGCUGGAGCUACAGUGGAAAGAACAGAAACUAACAGCUGGUUUUACCAUCCUCAUCCAGAACAGAUAAUAUUGCAUACAGUAAUAGAAAAUAUUAUAGAAAAAGUAAUGCACUUUGCUCUGGAGUAAAACUAUAUGAAGUGAUCCUUCUAAAGUUUUUUUUCUGCUUUUUGAGAACAAUAAGCAACCAAGGAUGAAAACAUGCUUUCCUAUGGAUUCUUCCAAAUCUGCAGUGUUUGAAGUUAUACUGGGAAAAAAGGAAAAAGGUGGUUUCCUGUCUGAAGUAGAAAAUGAUUCUGUUACUGGCUGUUAGUAAAAAUAUGCUGUAUCUAUACAUAUGGGGAUUGGCAAUGCAAACUCUUUCCCAUCGUAUUUUGAUAUUUAGCAAAAUCGUACAUUUCUUGCACACUGAAAAUUUGCUUUUGAGAUGGCCUGUACAAAAAUGAAAAUGAUAUAAAUGAGUAAAAAUGAAAUCUCUGCAAAGCAGUAGAGGGAAACUUUUUGGCAGCAAGCUACAUACUGCCAUCAGGACUAGCAGAUGCAGAAAGAGAGACUGAAGCAGAGAAAAUGGAAGUUAAUGAGUUUUUUAUUUAACUUAAAAUAAAACAGGAGGGAAAAUCUUUUAUUUUUUUACAGAAUCUAACACUUUACCUUCACUAGGAAUCAAUGUUUUUCUAUUUUUUAAUCAUCUCUGACACUGAACAAAACAAAUAAAUCUGUUCAUUAUGUACAAAAAUGGUUUAUUUUAGUAAUUGCUUAAUAUUUCUGCAAAUAUUUUGAUUUUAACAACAUUUAGCAAGCUAUGCUAAGAUUUCUGCUUUCAAAGUGUACUAAAGUUAGUUUACUUUAAAAAUUCAAAACACAUACCAGAGACUUCAACAUCUGUUAGCAGAGCCACCAAACUGACAUAUGAAUGCUGUGUAGAGGUAGUUGGGAAUUUUUUGACAAAUUAUUUUCACCAUAUAAAAACUUAUUAAUCAACAUUGAUUAAUCAAAACUUUAGAGAAAUUCAUCUAUAACAAAAAACAGCAGAGUUCUUUGUGUAGUUCAAGGCAUAUCUAUACUGAAUUCCCCAUUACAGCUUCUCAGCUUCUGAAAAAAGUUAAGCUCUUUUUAUAAUACCUGAACUUUACAGCAUUAUGGACACAAGCCCAGUGAAGCAUGGACUCUCAAGGACUGAAUCUCUCAGAUUUUAGGACUCAGUUUCAUCCUAAUGCAAAACAGAAUAUGCAAACUCUUGAGUACAACUUAAUAAACAGUAUGGAGUACAAGAUAACUGCUUCCCUUCAGGUUCUAAACUAAGCAAAAUUCAAUCUGAAAAGGUUUAUAGAAAAUUAAAUUAAAGGUUUGUAGAAAAUCUACAAGGGCACUAGGAGGCAUAUAAUAUGAGCUAAAUGCCUACUGAAGAUCGUUCUAAACCCAUUACAAAAGAUGAUAUUUUUCUAGAACAUGCCAGAUGCACAUAAAAUGUAAACAAAUUAAACCACUAAUAUAGUUGUACUAUUACUGCUAAUGUUAGCAAUUUAAUGGAGUUUACAGCAAUGUUGUUCUUGUAAAUCAAUGUCACUUAUAAGAGGGACAGUUACUUAUAUCUGCUAAAUUAUAAAACAAUCCAAGGAGCAGUUUGAAGUGUAAAAUAUGUUUUAUAUAGUCUAUGUAUAUUUCAUUCCUUACUCAAAACUACUUGCAAAGGAUGCUGGAACCAAUAGCCAUUUAACAAAUAAAACAUUCAAAUACUGAUAAAUAGGGGUUUUAUAUAUGGGCUUUAAAAUGUAGAGUACCUCAAAAUAAUUAUGUUCCUUUGAAUUAUUGUCUAGAUUUGAAAUAAAGGUUCUUGUUUGAUAGCAAGCAGUCCAGUGUAUAAUGACACCAUUCUAAAUGAUAAUCACACUGGGAUGGAUGAAGCUCUGUGUUGGUCAGUACAUAUACAUUUUGAUGAUAAAUACUUUCAUCACUCAUUUGCAAAAAUUGUCCAAAGCUUGUAUGAAAGCUAACUUCUCUUUCAACAGUAUUUCAAUGAAUAAUAAGUAAUGAAUCAUGAGAAAAUGCUUAGCAUAUGUCAAGCAGCAUCUUUUUUCUUUCUAUGUGUAGAGAAAAUGAAUGCUAGUCCUCUGGAAAAUGGAAUUAUUUUAACAAUAUAAAUAUAUUUACUGGAAAAUACUGGAUAGGUGGAGACAGGCAUGCAAUUUGACAAUGAACUGGUCACAUGGUAUCAGUCAUUCCCACGUGCUUUAAUUUCAGAAAUGACAUGGUAUUUUUAAUAACAUUUUAUUGUUAAGGAUGUUAUCAAAGACGUUAUCUAGAGGAGAAUAUGAUAGGGAGCAAUUAUCUUAAUUAUAUACUAACAACCUCUUAGAAGUAUGAUAAUGUUGUAAGGGAAAGUACAUUAAAGCUGAAAUAUGUAAGAACUGAAGUGGCUUAUGUCAGCCCCCUGUGCAUAUGCAUUCUGAAGUCUUAAAUUAUGAUUGUAAAGCUAUUUUUCCAUGAAAAUAAAUAAAUAAAUAAAAAUCUGCUGCAGUGAGGACAUAAAGGAGUGGGGAAAAUGGUCAAUAGAACAAACCAACUUGCUGCACAUUACUCUAUGGAUGAGGCAGGAGAAUAAGUAUUGUAAAAACAGUAGAAAUGUGGAAUAUCUUUGCUAAAUAUCAAACAGGAAUUCACAUGAAAAUAUGUUUUCAUCCAAAGGGAAUGAUAAAUGAGAGAUACUAAUGCUAAAAAAUUUUAAUCAAUAGAUCUAUCUAAUUUAUAUACAAGAAUUCAUAAUGAUCUGGAAGGAAGUUAUCUCAACAAAUGGUGCUGGACUUAGUUCUUAAUAGGACUUAGAAUAGUAAUAAUAUUUGAGAAGACUAGAAGAAAGCUAAUGAAAUACACUUAGUAGUUAUAGGCUUUCAGUCCAACAUAAGGAAAAUAGAAUAGCUGAUAUGGAUCACCAUUAAUAAUAAAUGAAAGUGGUAUAGGCAACGCAAAUUAGCACAGCUUCAGCAAAAACAGUUAUUAAUUAAUCUGUUUUUUGAAUGUAAAUAUAAGUUUGUUUAAUACAAGUAAAUAGAGUUUAUCUGACAUUCCCUUUAUAAUAAAUUGGGUUAAUAUUACAUUUGGGUUAUUAAAAUUUAGUAAUGUGGUCUAUGUUUGCAACGGAGAUAAUGUGAAAAAAUUAGCAAUGGUUCCAGAUUUAUGUGCAUGAAAGCAUCCACUGUAUAUCACACUCAAUCUUAUUUUUCAAACUACCCAUGUGGAAAAAAAAAAAAGAUAUAUACAUUAUAUGUAUAAUUUCUACACAUCUUUAACGUAUAAAUACUAUUUGGUGUGGAAGGGUCAAAAAGCCCAUGUAAACUUCAUUUCUUUUCAUGCUGUCUGUUGGGAUUCUUAAAGCUGCUGGUUAAAUGCACAAGAAUCAGUCAAGAAAGUAUGAAAAAACAGAGAGUACUGAAUACUUCUACUUCCUGCUUUCUCAGUUCUCUCAUCUCUUUUGAGAUGCUGAUGCUUGAUUUUUGCUUUCCUGCAUAAAUUCUGGUUUUGUCAAAUAAUACCUGUUAACAAAAUAUAAAUUGACAUAGAAUCAGAAAUGCAGAUGGACUGUG